GUACAGGCUAAUUUUGGGCUAAACCCAAAACCCAACUAACCUAGCCCAAUACCCUAAACUACCUGAGCCCAAAUUUUAAAACCCUAACAGCCCAUCUGCUUAAAAGAUUUCAGCAGCAAGCCCUAGCUCCCACCUUGUCAGCCGCCGCUUCCCACCAUCGGCCAACCAUUGGCUACCUUGCGCACUACCCCCUCGUCCACCGCGCCCACUACCUGCAACAGAGACAGAAACAACAGCAAAAGGAAGCAUGCGAGGAAUGGGGGCAAAGAAUAAACAAAACAGAAACAAAAAAAAGGAGAAAUGAAUGUUUAUGGAUCGGCUUUAAAAAGCCAAAAUGAAGGAUGAGAAAAGAGGGCCUUUUUUUUUCUUUUCUCUUUACCGAGCAGUGUAAAAUUCGAAAAAUCUCAAAAAAAAUUUCAACAACCAAUAUACGAAAGCUAAAACCUCAUAAGUAGCAUAGAUCAAACAUCAAAAAGGAGAUUUAAACGUCCUAAAAUCAGAAACGUUACUAGCAAAUAGGGAAAGAAGAAGAGAACAACGGCAAAGUCAAGGUUCCUAAUAUUUUUUCAUUUCUUUUUAUUUUCAGAUUUACAUUCACCUAUAUAUGCAUAUAUAAUAAAAUACACACAAAAAAAAAGAAAUUUUUACCUAAGGCGAUUUCCGGCCACCGUGUACGGUGGCCGGCGCGGUGGAGCUACGACGGCGUGCGGUGGCUCUCCUGGCCGGUUUCUAGGCAUCCCCAGAGAGAAAAAUCCCUUUCUCCCUUUUUUUUUCCUAAGACUCAGCUGAAA
rnacentral:lncRNA from 1 species